GAGCCAAUUCCUCUGUUCCGGUAGAGCCAAUUCCUUUGAAGAAUUGUUUACUUUCUUGUCUUUCCUCCAGUGAACAGAGUGGAAGACCAGGUAUCUUCGUAGUUGGGGACACUGGGCGGGAUCUUUCAGCAGCGAAUUCCCCAUACAGAUAGAGGCGCCUAUCAAAAAGAUACUCCGAAGGCUUCGGGAUCGAGGUCUCAUUAGCCGAAGAAGACCCAGGCCAAUCCACGUGGCCUCUUUGACCAACGUCAGCGACAAAGACGUGUGACACUGGGUCGGGGUUUGGUGAACCAACAGGUCGCUCCUUUAGUUGAAGUAUCGGGCCCCUUUUUCGUUGCCUAGGUUACACCUUCGGAAUACCCCAGACGGGGAUUUCGCUCUACAAUAGUGCAUUUCCCCUUGAUGGUACGAUUUACAUAUCUUCUACCUCUGCUACUUCUGUUCAGGAAGGUUAGUUUAGGCACUCCAUCCCUGAGGGCUGCAUCAGCUUAUCUUUCUAGAAAUCCCAGCUAUAAGCUAGAUCGGUAUAAAUAGGGCAUUAAGCAGCAAUAACAGAGAUAGCAUCCAUGAGUUUUUUAA
rnacentral:lncRNA from 1 species